UGAGGAAUAUUGGUCAAUGGGUGCAAGCCUGAUCCAGCCAUCCCGCGUGAAGGACGACUGCCCUAUGGGUUGUAAACUUCUUUUGUAUAGGGAUAAACCUACCCUCGUGAGGGUAGCUGAAGGUACUAUACGAAUAAGCACCGGCUAACUCCGUGCCAGCAGCCGCGGUAAUACGGAGGGUGCAAGCGUUAUCCGGAUUUAUUGGGUUUAAAGGGUCCGUAGGCGGACUUAUAAGUCAGUGGUGAAAGCCUGUCGCUUAACGAUAGAACGGCCAUUGAUACUGUAAGUCUUGAGUAUAUUUGAGGUAGCUGGAAUAAGUAGUGUAGCGGUGAAAUGCAUAGAUAUUACUUAGAACACCAAUUGCGAAGGCAGGUUACCAAGAUAUAACUGACGCUGAGGGACGAAAGCGUGGGGAGCGAACA
rnacentral:rRNA from 1 species